GAUAAAGUGGCUGAGGAAAAGCGUUGAAUUGUAAAUUCAUAAACAAGUUAAACUUCUUUAUUA
rnacentral:tRNA from 1 species